rnacentral:rRNA from 1 species
CAGUAGCCGCGGUAAUACGAAGGGUGCAAGCGUUACUCGGAAUUACUGGGCGUAAAGCGUGCGUAGGUGGUGGUUUAAGUCCGUUGUGAAAGCCCUGGGCUCAACCUGGGAAUUGCAGUGGAUACUGGGUCACUAGAGUGUGGUAGAGGAUAGUGGAAUUUCCGGUGUAGCAGUGAAAUGCGUAGAGAUCGGAAGGAACAUCUGUGGCGAAGGCGACUAUCUGGGCCAACACUGACACUGAGGCACGAAAGCGUGGGGAGCAAACAGGAUUAGAUACCCCUGUAGUCCUUGUCUCUUAUAC